GAAGAAACGUUGUGAACUUUUGUGUCAAGAUAUGAACAAGGGAGAAACUGGACUGGAAGGAUCCUCUUUGUACCUGAGCUCUGUUAGAAGGAAACUGGAACUAUAAUCUCUUUUCCUGGCAGUGCCUUCUCUUCUCCUGGCAGCAUCCUCUUCACAAAGUGGAGUUGAUGUGGUUUUCAGUGUCACUUUUCAACAGUUCACGAUUGGAGAGAAUGCAAGCAGAACAGAGACAGGAACUCUGAAUGUGGAGGGGAGAUACCUACUCGCUGCACUCCCAAAGCAAACAUUUUCACUGCUAAUCUGAAGUAUAUCCAGCUACGCAUUGAAGUGGAACCUUUUCUUCAUCAUCCGAGAUUGUGGAAAACACCAACAUCCUUGAAAACAUAAGCUGAAAUCAAGGACAGAGUGUGCAUAAAGUGGAGAAAACUGACAAACGAGGAAAAGAAGACAUGAAGGCAAGUUACUCUCAGGAAUAGAAACUCUUUGAAAUCAAGGGUACCAUGGAUCCGCUAAUGUGCUUCCAUCCAGUAUUCUUCUGUCCACUAUGGCAAGAUGGUACUAGACAAACAGCAAUCACAGUCAGGAAUGACAUUUGGACCAUAAAAAAACCUCCUCAGAGAUAAACACGGAGUCACAGAACAGGCCACACACUUUGCAGACUGGUGUAAGAUGAGAGCGAUGAAAAGGA
rnacentral:lncRNA from 1 species